UAGCAUAAUCAUUAGUCUUUUAAUUGAAGGCUCGUAUGAAUGGCUGGACAAAAAGUAAGCUGUCUCGGUUAUAGUAAUUGAAUUUAACUUUUAAGUGAAAAGGCUUAAAUAAUUCAGGGGGACGAUAAGACCCUAUAAAGCUUGACAAUAAUCUUAUUAAAUUAUAAAUUGUUAGUAUAACUUGAUUUUAAUUAGAGUUUGUUUCGUUGGGGCGACGAGAAUAUAAUAAAUAACUGUUCUUUUAAAUAUAAUUACAAAAAUAAUUGGUAAAAUAUUGAUCCUUUAUUAAAGAUUAAAAGAUUAAGUUACUUUAGGGAUAACAGCGUAAUCUUCUUUGAGAGUCCACAUCGACAAGAAGGUUU
rnacentral:rRNA from 1 species